GACAGCCCCUCGUGCGGCGUCAUCUUGAGGAACUCCCCCCAGGGCCGGAAGGCAGCAAGGGCACUUGAGCUCUGACGGGUGCGCGAGGGGUCUUCUCA
rnacentral:SRP_RNA from 1 species